GAAAUCUAUUUAGGUAGAGCGUCGUACGAAUACCUCGGGGGGUAGAGCACUGGAUGGGUAAUGGGGCCCCACAGGCUUACUGAUCCUAACCAAACUCCGAAUACCCGGAAGUAAUAAUUGGCAGACACACUGCGGGUGCUAACGCCCGUAGUGAAAAGGGAAACAACCCUGACCUCCAGCUAAGGCCCCUAAUUCAUGGCUAAGUGGGAAAGCAGGUGAGACGACCAAAACAACCAGGAGGUUGGCUUAGAAGCAGCCACCCUUUAAAGAAAGCGUAAUAGCUC
rnacentral:rRNA from 12 species